rnacentral:rRNA from 1 species
GAUCAUGGCUCGGGAUGAACGCUAGCUACAGGCUUAACAUGCAAGUCGAGGGGCAGCGGGAUUGAAGCUUGCUUCAAUUGCCGGCGACCGGCGCACGGGUGAGUAACGCGUAUCCGACCUUCCGUACACUCAGGGAUAGCCUUUCGAAAGAAAGAUUAAUACCUGAUGGUAUCUUAAGCACACAUGUAAUUAAGAUUAAAGAUUUAUCGGUGUACGAUGGGGGUGCGUUCCAUUAGGUAGUAGGCGGGG